rnacentral:rRNA from 1 species
UACGUAGGGUGCGAGCGUUAAUCGGAAUUACUGGGCGUAAAGCGUGCGCAGGCGGUUAUUUAAGUCAGGUGUGAAAGCCCUGGGCUUAACCUAGGAAUUGCGCUUGAGACUGGAUAGCUUGGAGUGCGGCAGAGGGAGGUGGAAUUCCACGUGUAGCAGUGAAAUGCGUAGAGAUGUGGAGGAAUACCGAUGGCGAAGGCAGCCCCCUGGGAUAACACUGACGCUCAUGCACGAAAGCGUGGGGAGCAAACAGG